GUAUAUUUGAAAGUCAAUGACUUCUAUUAAAAAAAAGAAAAAAGAAAUCUAGAACUUUACAAUCUUUUUUUUAAUGCCCCUAUUUAUAUACAAAAGAAGAUGUCAUAUGAUUGCCAAAGAUACAACUCUCCACAAGAAACCAAGUGACACAGAAAUUAACAGCUACAGGUCAUUGUAAGGCCUUCAACAAUGAGCAAAGCCCAUACCGCAUAUUCAGCUAUAAAAGGCACUGAAAUGACAAAUGAAAUAUUAUGCAUGGUGGGGGUGAAAUAAAAAGUGUCUUCUGACCCC
rnacentral:lncRNA from 1 species